UUGCUUUACAAUAGCAGUUAUGUAAGAUGCAUAAACUCUAGAAAUCUGCUGUACAACACUGUGCCUAUAGUUAACCAUACUGUAUUGGGCACUUAAAAAUUUAAGAGGGCAAAUUUCAUGUGUUCUUACCAC